UACGGGGGGGGCAAGCGUUGUUCGGAAUUACUGGGCGUAAAGGGCUCGUAGGCGGCCAACUAAGUCGGAUGUGAAAUCCCCAGGCUUAACCUGGGAACUGCAUCCGAUACUGGAUGGCUUGAAUCCGGGAGAGGGAUGCAGAAUUCCAGGUGUAGCGGUGAAAUGCGUAGAUAUCUGGAGGAAUACCGGUGGCGAAAGCGGCUCACUGGAUCGAAACUGACGCUGAGGUGCGAAAGCUAGGGUAGCAAACGGG
rnacentral:rRNA from 1 species